GGUAAAAUGGCUGAGAUCAAAGGUAAUAAAUUGUAAAUUUAUUUAGGAAAUAAAAUUUCUUUUACCA
rnacentral:tRNA from 1 species